rnacentral:rRNA from 1 species
ACAUGCAAGUCGAACGGCAGCACGGAGAGCUUGCUCUCUGGUGGCGAGUGGCGAACGGGUGAGUAAUAUAUCGGAACGUGUCCAAUAAUGGGGGAUAACGAGUCGAAAGAUUCGCUAAUACCGCAUACGCCCUACGGGGGAAAGCAGGGGAUCGUAAGACCUUGCGUUAAUGGAGCGGCCGAUAUCUGAUUAGCUUGUUGGUGAGGUAAAGGCUCACCAAGGCGACGAUCAGUAGCUGGUUUGAGAGAACGACCAGCCACACUGGAACUGAGACACGGUCCAGACUCCUACGGGAGGCAGCAGUGGGGAAUUUUGGACAAUGGGGGCAACCCUGAUCCAGCCAUUCCGCGUGAGUGAAGAAGGCCUUCGGGUUGUAAAGCUCUUUCGCAAGGGAAGAAAACUUAUGAUCGAAUAAAUCAUGAGGUUGACGGUACCUUGAUAAGAAGCACCGGCUAACUACGUGCCAGCAGCCGCGGUAAUACGUAGGGUGCGAGCGUUAAUCGGAAUUACUGGGCGUAAAGCGUGCGCAGGCGGUUUUGUAAGUCGGAUGUGAAAUCCCCGGGCUCAACCUGGGAACUGCGUUCGAAACUGCAAGGCUAGAGUGUGUCAGAGGGGGGUAGAAUUCCACGUGUAGCAGUGAAAUGCGUAGAGAUGUGGAGGAAUACCAAUGGCGAAGGCAGCCCCCUGGGAUAACACUGACGCUCAUGCACGAAAGCGUGGGGAGCAAACAGGAUUAGAUACCCUGGUAGUCCACGCCCUAAACGAUGUCAACUAGUUGUUGGUAGAGUAAAAUCUAUGAGUAACGUAGCUAACGCG